GAUCAACUCAUGCAGAAAACACCAGUUCUUGUUCAGUCACCGAAAUUAAGCAACGUCGAUCCUGGUCAGUACUUAGAUGGGUGACUGCUUGGGAACACCAGGUACU